GAAGGAACUAGGCAAAAUGGUACCGUAACUUCGGGAGAAGGUACGCUCCUAGCGGUGAUGAGACUUGCUCUCUAAGCUGCUGGGAGUCGCAGAUACCAGGUGGCUGCAACUGUUUAUUAAAAACAUAGCACUGUGCUAAAUCGUAAGAUGACGUAUACGGUGUGACGCCUGCCCGGUGCUUGAAGGUUAAUUGAUGGGGUUAGACUUCGGUCGAAGCUCUUGAUCGAAGCCCAAGUAAACGGCGGCCGUAACUAUAACGGUCCUAAGGUAGCGAAAUUCCUUGUCGGGUAAGUUCCGACCUGCACGAAUGGCGUAAUGAUGGCCACGCUGUCUCCACCCGAGACUCAGUGAAAUUGAAAUCGCUGUGAAGAUGCAGUGUACCCGCGGCUAGACGGAAAGACCCCGUGAACCUUUACUACAGCUUGGCACUGAACAUUGACCCUACAUGUGUAGGAUAGGUGGGAGCCUUUGAAACCAGUACGCUAGUAUUGGUGGAGGCAAUCUUGAAAUACCACCCUUGUAUGCUUGAUGUUCUAACGUUGGCCCCUUAUCGGGGUUGCGGACAGUGCCUGGUGGGUAGUUUGACUGGGGCGGUCUCCUCCCAAAGAGUAACGGAGGAGCACGAAGGUGGGCUAAACACGGUUGGACAUCGUGUGGUUAGUGCAAUGGCAUAAGCCCGCUUGACUGCGAGAAUGACAAUUCGAGCAGGUGCGAAAGCAGGUCAUAGUGAUCCGGUGGUUCUGAAUGGAAGGGCCAUCGCUCAACGGAUAAAAGGUACUCCGGGGAUAACAGGCUGAUACCGCCCAAGAGUUCAUAUCGACGGCGGUGUUUGGCACCUCGAUGUCGGCUCAUCACAUCCUGGGGCUGAAGUCGGUCCCAAGGGUAUGGCUGUUCGCCAUUUAAAGUGGUACGCGAGCUGGGUUUAGAACGUCGUGAGACAGUUCGGUCCCUAUCUGCCGUGGGCGUUGGAUGAUUGAAAGGGGCUGCUCCUAGUACGAGAGGACCGGAGUGGACGAACCUCUGGUGUUCGGGUUGUUACGCCAGUAGCAUUGCCCGGUAGCUAAGUUCGGGAUCGAUAAACGCUGAAAGCAUCUAAGCGUGAAGCGAGCCUUGAGAUGAGUCAUCCCUGAUACUUUAAGUAUCCUAAAGGGUUGUUGGAGACUACGACGUAGAUAGGCAGGGUGUGUAAGUGCUGCGAGGCAUUGAGCUAACCUGUACUAAUUGCCCGUGAGGCUUAACCAU
rnacentral:rRNA from 1 species